rnacentral:rRNA from 1 species
CCUACGGGUGUGCUGCAGUGAGGAAUAUUGGUCAAUGGCCGGAAGGCUGAACCAGCCAAGCCGCGUGAAGGACGAAGGUGCCAAGCAUUGUAAACUUCUUUUGUCAAGGGACAAAAUCAGGCUCGAGAGCCUGACCGAGGGCACUUGAAGAAAAAGCUUCGGCAAACUCCGUGCCAGCAGCCGCGGUAAUACGGAGGUUGCGAGUGUUAUCCGGUUUUAUUGGGUUUAAAGGGUGCGUAGGCGGGCUGUUAAGUCAGGGGUAAAGGCCCGGGGCUGAAGCCCGGCGAGCCGUUGAUACUGGCUGUCUUGAGAUGUCGAGAGGUAUGCGGAAUGCGCAGUGUAGCGGUGAAAUGCUUAGAUAUUGCGCAGAACUCCGAUUGCGAAGGCAGCAUACCGGCGGCGAUCUGACGCUGAGGCACGAAAGCGUGGGUAUCGAACAGGAUUAGAUACCCGUGUAGUC